CGAAAGCCUGACGGAGCAACGCCGCGUGAGGGAGGAAGGCCCUUGGGUUGUAAACCUCUUUUCUGGGGGAAGAAGUAAUGACGGUACCCCAGGAAUAAGCAUCGGCUAACUCCGUGCCAGCAGCCGCGGUAAUACGGAGGAUGCAAGCGUUAUCCGGAAUCAUUGGGCGUAAAGCGUCCGCAGGUGGCUAUUCAAGUCUGCUGUCAAAGCAUGGAGCUUAACUCCAUAGAGGCAGUGGAAACUGAAAGGCUAGAGGCCGGUAGGGGUAGUGGGAAUUCCCAGUGUAGCGGUGAAAUGCGUAGAGAUUGGGAAGAACAUCGGUGGCGAAAGCGCACUACUGGGCAGGACCUGACACUGAGGGACGAAAGCUAGGGGAGCAAAAGGGAUUAGAUACCCCUGUAGUCCUAGCCGUAAACGAUGGAGACUAGGCGUAGCUUGUAUCGACCCAAGCUGUGCCGAAGCUAACGCGUUAAGUCUCCCGCCUGGGGAGUACGCACGCAAGUGUGAAACUCAAAGGAAUUGACGGGGGCCCGCACAAGCGGUGGAGUAUGUGGUUUAAUUCGAUGCAACGCGAAGAACCUUACCAGGGCUUGACAUCUGGCGAAUUUGGGGGAAACCUCGGAGUGCCUUCGGGAGCGCCAAGACAGGUGGUGCAUGGCUGUCGUCAGCUCGUGUCGUGAGAUGUUGGGUUAAGUCCCGCAACGAGCGCAACCCUCGUUUUUAGUUGCCAUCACUAAGUUGGGCACUCUAGAGAGACUGCCGGUGACAAACCGGAGGAAGGUGGGGAUGACGUCAAGUCAGCAUGCCCCUUACGUCCUGGGCUACACACGUACUACAAUGGUCGGGACAGAGGGCAGCAAACUCGCAAGAGCAAGCGAAUCUCAUCAAACUCGGCCUCAGUUCAGAUUGCAGGCCGCAACUCGCCUGCAUGAAGGAGGAAUCGCUAGUAAUCGCCGGUCAGCAUACGGCGGUGAAUCCGUUCCCGGGCCUUGUACACACCGCCCGUCACACCAUGGGAGCUGGCCACGCCCGAAGUCGUUACCCUAACCCGAAAGGGAGGGGGAUGCCGAAGGCAGGGCUAGUGACUGGGGUGAAGUCGUAACAAGGUAGCCGUACCGGAAGGUGUGGCUGGAUCACCUCCUUU
rnacentral:rRNA from 1 species